AGCGCAUGCGGCUGAUGACUUUUGUAUGGCGGCUUAUUUACACAUGUGAAAGUAAAAGGGAAAAUGGAGACAGAUGUUGCUGAUUUUUCUGAUCUUCGACAACAAGCCGAGCAGCUGACUGCUGAAUUUGACAGCGCCUCAGACUUACCAAGAGUCAACAGGAAUAUAGCACAGAUCCUUGAAGCAGGGUCCCGUCUGCUGUCUAAAGUUGCCCCCAUCAGUCAAGACUCCACUGAUGUUAGAGCGUCCAUAUUGUUGGGUACUAAAGGAUAUGAUGUACCAAAAAUUUCUCAGAAACUAGAAGGCUUGAGUGCAUCCAAGACAUUUGAGCCUCUAGAACCAGUAAAAGACACCGACAUUCAAAGCUUCUUAAAAAAUGAAAGAGAAAAUGCUUUGUUGGCAGUGAUUGAGCAAACAAGGAAACAUACAUUCGAGGAAUCUGAGAGGAGACACUGGGAAUGCAUGGAAAAUGAAUGGGAAAGAGAAAAACAAAAAAUUCUGAACACACUUCGGGGUCUGAACCAGGAGACAACAGACUUCCAACCAGAGGCAGAGAGUUUUGCUGUGGAUCCUGUCAGCAUGCAUGGUCGAAGUAAUCUCAACAACAUAGAGAUGGCAUAUGCUAGACAGGUGUACAUGUACAAUGAACAAGUCCUGCAGGGCAGCAUUCGGCCCAGCCUGGUGGACGCCUUCUCUGAUGUGGCCGUCAGUCUUGAUGAUAAGCCUGUGAUGGACCUGUGGGAACAAGUGAGGUACAUGGUAGAUGUCCCCAUGAUCUCCUCUAACAGUGUGAAGGAGUCGCGCACAGACUACCGCACACAGGCCGCUUUUGUACAGAAAGGCAAGGAGUACCUGGAGCAAAUGUACUCUAAACACAUACAGAACACGAUCUACAGUAACCUUCAGCAGGCCCAGCUUGGGGGAAUCCCCUCCACCUACAACCAGGUCAAGAGUUACCUCAACGUCCGCCCGCCUCACAUCAAGGGCCUGGAGGAUGGGCAUGUGGACGGACACCCGGUCUGGGCUAUGAUCUAUUUCUGUCUGAGGUGUGGCGACCUCCAAGCUGCAUUACAGGUCACAGAAAAAGCAUCUCACAGUCUUGGGGACUUUCCUGCUUUUCUCAGAGAAUAUGUCACAGAUGAAGACAACAGAUUGUCUGCCGCCAGCGAAACAAAGAUCAAUCUUCAUUAUCGCCGAAUCAUUAAGAAUCAUCUGAUGAAGGACCCUUGAGGAGACUGAACUUUGUCCGUCUCAUCACUAUGUACACACGCAAAUUUGAAGCCACCGACCCAAGGGAGGCGUUGCAGUAUUUCUACUUCCUAAAUGAUCUGAGGACGUCCCAAGGAGAGAAUCUCUUCAUGUCGUGUGUUAGUGAGCUUGUGUUGGAAACUAGAGAGUUUGAGAUGCUAUUGGGGAAGAUGGAACCAGAUGGCACAAGACGAUUGGGUGCAAUAGACAAAUUUCACCAUGAUACGCAGAGAAUCAUUGAGCUGGUUGCCAGGGAUACAGAAAACAAGGGAAUGUUUGAGGAGGCUGUCAUGUUGUAUGAUCUAGGAGAUAAACAUGACAAAGUGCUGGAGUUACUGAAUCGACUGAUCAGCCAGGUGGUAUCACAGCCCAAUACCCCCCAGUCUGCUCGGGACAGGCUCCGAGCCAUGGCCCUCAGUAUCGCCAAACGGUACAGAGAGAGGAAUAAUGAAGGGUCAAGGUCAAAUACCAGCACAUUUUACCUUUUGCUUGACCUUUUGACCUUUUUUGAUUCUUACCAUGAAGGAAAUGUAGAUGAAGCUUUUGAGGUGAUGAAGCAGUUAAAAUUACUUCCCUUGACAGCUGAUGCUGUGGAACAUAAAGUGAACGCCUUCAGGCAUUACACAGAUGAGGUCAGAAGAUGUCUACCAGAUAUUUUGAUAGCAACCAUGAACAUAUUACAUAAUCAGUACAAGAAUGCCAAAAACUCAGCUCCAAGGGGAGGCUAUUCAGGACAAGGCAGAUCAGAAGAUGGAGGCAGAGAAACGUACCUAAAUUAUCUCCGAAGUCAGGCAAGAGCCUUGAUAAUGUUUGCAGGAAUGCUGCCUUACAGACUGCCAGGGGACACCAACGCUCGCCUGGUCCAGAUCGAAGUGCUUAUGAACUAAUUCAAGACGGUUACCAGUACGGGGUGCUGAAUGUUGUGUUCAAGACUUUAUAUUGUAAUGAAUUGAUAAUAAAUUAAAUCAAAAA
rnacentral:misc_RNA from 1 species